UGUCACAUUAGCUCUUCCAAUUGUAAAGGCAUCCUUGACGGGACAGCACAUCUUAAUAAUGCCAAACAUCAUCUUCACCAUAGCUCUUCCAAGUAGGCAGGGGCUCAUAAUCAGUUCAGACUCCAUUGGGAGGCCAUCAGCUGGAUGAGGAACAAUUGACCUUUCAGGAAGAGCUGUACAAUUAGAGGCAAGCUAGAUAGAAGAGCACACAAGAUAGAGUGAAAUUGGAAAGCAGCAUAUUUGCAUCAGAUAAGAACCAAGAGGGUGCUGGGACAUAGGUUCUCUCCGUCUUCAGGCAGAGAAAAUGCAUCCAAAAUCUACUUUUCAGGAGUGUAGCUGGAGAGUUUUUGUGCUGUGAACCAAACUUCCAGGAGCAAAAUAUCGAUACUGAAGAAUUUAAAUGGCAGAACCCAUCUCCCCACCCUGCAGUUUGCCUCAUGUGGAUGAAGAUGAGGAGAGCACUUGUUGCAGGCUCUUCCCUUUGGAAGCUCUUCAGUGUUAUAAAUCACAGCUCCAGCAAACUGGAUUGAAUUACAACUGAAUUGAAUGCACUUCUAUAGCACCUUCCCCCAGGGAUCUAAACCAAUUUUCUCACCAUUGCUAAAUGCUGAACUUCCCUUGUACCCUUGCAGACUUGACCAAGCACUGUGGGCUCCAGCUUCUGAAAAAAGGCACUUAGAAGUCAAUUCAGGUA